rnacentral:tRNA from 1 species
GUGGUUGUGGCUCAGUGGUAGAGUGCUUGUCUGACGUGUGAGGUACUGGGUUUGAUUCUCAGCACCACA